rnacentral:rRNA from 2 species
GUUGUAUGGUUAAGUGACUAAGCGUACAUGGUGGAUGCCUUGGCAGUCAGAGGCGAUGAAGGACGUACUAACCUGCGAUAAGCCGUGAGCAGUCGGUAAGAGACAUUACGACUCACGGAUUUCCGAAUGGGGAAACCCACUUAGCAUAAGCUAGGUAUCGCUACGUGAAUACAUAGCGUAGCGAGGCGAACCGGGAGAACUGAAACAUCUAAGUACCCCGAGGAAAAGAAAUCAACCGAGAUUCCCUCAGUAGCGGCGAGCGAACGGGGAUUAGCCCUUAAGCAUCUUGGAAGUUAGUGGAACGGUCCUGGAAAGGCCGGCGAUACAGGGUGAUAGCCCCGUACACGAAAACAACCUUGAUGUGAAAUCGAGUAGGGCGGGACACGUGACAUCCUGUCUGAAUAUGGGGGGACCAUCCUCCAAGGCUAAAUACUCCUGACUGACCGAUAGUGAACCAGUACCGUGAGGGAAAGGCGAAAAGAACCCCUGUGAGGGGAGUGAAAUAGAACCUGAAACCGUGUACGUACAAGCAGUGGGAGCCCUUCGGGGUGACUGCGUACCUUUUGUAUAAUGGGUCAGCGACUUACAUUUUGUAGCGAGGUUAACCGUAUAGGGGAGCCGUAGGGAAACCGAGUCUUAACUGGGCGUCUAGUUGCAAGGUGUAGACCCGAAACCGGGUGAUCUAGCCAUGGGCAGGUUGAAGGUUGAGUAACAUCAACUGGAGGACCGAACCCACUAACGUUGCAAAGUUAGGGGAUGACCUGUGGCUGGGGGUGAAAGGCCAAUCAAACUCGGAGAUAGCUGGUUCUCCCCGAAAGCUAUUUAGGUAGCGCCUCGGACGAAUACUACUGGGGGUAGAGCACUGUUUGGGCUAGGGGGUCAUCCCGACUUACCAACCCCAUGCAAACUCCGAAUACCAGUAAGUAAUAUCCGGGAGACACACGGCGGGUGCUAACGUCCGUCGUGAAGAGGGAAACAACCCAGACCGCCGGCUAAGGUCCCAAAGUUCUGGUUAAGUGGGAAACGAUGUGGGAAGGCUCAGACAGCUAGGAUGUUGGCUUAGAAGCAGCCAUCAUUUAAAGAAAGCGUAAUAGCUCACUAGUCGAGUCGGCCUGCGCGGAAGAUGUAACGGGGCUCAAACCAGGCACCGAAGCCGCGGAUUCACGCUAAGCGUGAGUGGUAGGGGAGCGUUCUGUAAGUCUGCGAAGGUGUAUCGAGAGGUAUGCUGGAGAUAUCAGAAGUGCGAAUGCUGACGUAAGUAACGAUAAAGGGGGUGAAAAGCCUCCUCGCCGGAAGACCAAGGGUUCCUGUCCAACGUUAAUCGGGGCAGGGUGAGUCGACCCCUAAGGCGAGGCCGAAAGGCGUAGUCGAUGGGAAGCAGGUUAAUAUUCCUGCACGACUUGUAAUUGCGAUGGGGGGACGGAGAAGGCUAGGUGGGCCAGGCGACGGUUGUCCUGGUGAAAGUGCGUAGGUGGUGUUUCUAGGCAAAUCCGGAGACACAACACUGAGACACGAGACGAACACACUACGGUGUGGAAGCCAUUGAUGCCCUGCUUCCAGGAAAAGCCUCUAAGCUUCAGAUUACAAGUCAUCGUACCCCAAACCGACACAGGUGGUCGGGUAGAGAAUACCAAGGCGCUUGAGAGAACUCGGGUGAAGGAACUAGGCAAAAUAGAACCGUAACUUCGGGAGAAGGUUCGCUCUUGACAGUGAAGUCCCUUGCGGAUGGAGCAGUUGGGAGUCGCAGUGACCAGAUGGCUGGGACUGUUUAUCAAAAACACAGCACUCUGCAAACACGAAAGUGGACGUAUAGGGUGUGACACCUGCCCGGUGCCGGAAGGUUAAUUGAUGGGGUUAGCGCAAGCGAAGCUCUUGAUCGAAGCCCCGGUAAACGGCGGCCGUAACUAUAACGGUCCUAAGGUAGCGAAAUUCCUUGUCGGGUAAGUUCCGACCUGCACGAAUGGUGUAACCAUGGCCAUGCUGUCUCCACCCGAGACUCAGUGAAAUCGAAUUCGCCGUGAAGAUGCGGUGUACCCGCGGCUAGACGGAAAGACCCCGUGAACCUUUACUACAGCUUGGCACUGAACAUUGAACCUACAUGUGUAGGAUAGGUGGGAGGCUUUGAAGGCGUGACGCCAGUUGCGCUGGAGCCGUCCUUGAAAUACCACCCUUGUAUGUUUGAUGUUCUAACGCAGGCCCGUGAAUCCGGGUCGCGGACAGUGCCUGGUGGGUAGUUUGACUGGGGCGGUCUCCUCCCAAAGAGUAACGGAGGAGCACGAAGGUUGGCUAAUCCUGGUCGGACAUCAGGAGGUUAGUGCAAUGGCAUAAGCCAGCUUAACUGCGAGACGGACAGGUCGAGCAGGUACGAAAGUAGGUCAUAGUGAUCCGGUGGUUCUGAAUGGAAGGGCCAUCGCUCAACGGAUAAAAGGUACUCCGGGGAUAACAGGCUGAUACCGCCCAAGAGUUCAUAUCGACGGCGGUGUUUGGCACCUCGAUGUCGGCUCAUCACAUCCUGGGGCUGAAGUCGGUCCCAAGGGUAUGGCUGUUCGCCAUUUAAAGUGGUACGCGAGCUGGGUUCAGAACGUCGUGAGACAGUUCGGUCCCUAUCUGCCGUGGGCGUUGGAUGAUUGAAGGGAGUUGCUCCUAGUACGAGAGGACCGGAGUGAACGAACCUCUGGUGUUCGGGUUGUCACGCCAGUGGCACUGCCCGGUAGCUAAGUUCGGAAUCGAUAACCGCUGAAAGCAUCUAAGCGGGAAGCGAGCCCUGAGAUGAGUCAUCCCUGACCCCUUGAGGGUCCUAAAGGGCCGUUGGAGACCACAACGUUGAUAGGUGGGGUGUGUAAGCGCGGCGACGUGUUGAGCUAACCCAUACUAAUUACCCGUGAGGCUUAACCAUACAACACCCAAGAAGUGUU